UCCCGCCAAAAAACAAUGGAAAAAUUAAUGAAAAUACUCAAUAUUCACUGCUUUUAAUAAAUUGUACUGAAGUAACAAAAAGCAAUUAGAUUUUAUAUUGCUUAUUUAUUAAUUCCAUCGACAUCUAUGCGACCGAGUGAAGAAAAAAGUACCUCAAUAUUUUUCGAUAUUGGCUGUUUGAAUCUGCGUUGCCAGAAUUUCUUUGUCUCAUGGAAAAAAAAGUAAACUCAGUACCCAAACCGUUGGCGCGAAAAAGUGACAAGCGUUUUUUCACUUGUAUUUCAAGAUUCCAAAGGUAAGUUGAUUUUGUUAUUGAUAAUUUAACAAUUAUUUAUAAAUAUAUUUAGGUAUAUAAUCUUUAAAAUCGUAAAAUAGUUAGCCAUAUAAACAUAAUUAUUAUAAUUGUAAGAUCUUUAACUAUCUGUACUGAUUUUCUCUUUUUCACAUAAUGAAAGUGAAACAUUAAAAGGUAAGUACGUACCUACUUAAAGCUAUAAUUCUUAUUUUAUUGUCUAUUAGAUAAACAAAUAGUACAGAAGUGGUUUGUUUACAGAUGAAGCGUUCAAGCGUCGAAAUUCCAUUGUGCUCUACAAUGCGUCGCCGUCGCGUCGACGACGAGCCUGCUGCAACCUGCAUCGGUGCCGGUCUAACACACCAAGGCUCCGAUAUGUAUGAAGGAAAUGCACAAUGCUAAAAACUGCGUAGGAGAUUUUAAUACAAUAGUACUACCAAGCCUGAUGUUGGCCGCUAUUUCAAUGAAUGCAGCAAUGUGACAGCUAGCAAUCAAAAGUAACAAGAUAUCGAGGAAAUGCAGAUGGCAAUAAACUGUGUAGGAGUUCAUGAUUGCAAUAGAAUAAAAUCGACCAAGCCUGAAGUCAGCAGCCCCUUCAAUGAAUGCAGCAGUGUGACAGCCAGCAAUCAAAAGUUACAAGAUAUCGAGGAAAUGCAGAAGGCAAAAAACUGCGUAGGAGAUCAUUAAUACAAUAGUAUUAUAUAAACCAAGCCUGAUGUUGGCCGCUCAUUCAAAGAAUGCAGCAGUGUGACAGCCAGCAAUCAAAAGUAACAAGAUGUCGAGGUACGUUACAUGACGAUCACGACCACUUUGGCAUAAACGUAUCGCUAUAGACUAAGGAAAAAAAUGUAAUAUAUAUUUUAUUCACAGGAAAUGCAGAGUGUAAUAAACUGUGUAGGAGAUUAUGAU